AUCAAAGAUAAAUAAUCAGGUCGUUAGCGGCGCCGCGAGACACAAACACCGCGGACAUAAAGACCCCCGCUCAGGAACCGUCCCGCAAGACGCCAUCUUUCAGCAUUCUGACACCGAGCAGGCGUUGGUGGGUCUAAGUUAUCUCGGCCCCUUGUCCUCCAGAAUAUCAACUCCUAGAAUAAGAAACACACCAGCUAAACACACAGAAACCCAGAGCAACACGGAACCAGCCCGGCAGCGGCGGCGGCUCGCACACCUGCCCGCACACAGGCACCGACACACGGAUACAGCCGAAGAGCUGAACACAGAGGGCCCGGCUCAUGGAGCGUGAUGGUGGACUGGACACGGUGACUGUGGAGCUGAUCUCAGAGCAGCUCAGACUGCAGUCUUUGGUCUGAAUUACUGAGUUAGCAGAACAACCAGCUUAACUGCGACACCUACUGACGUGUUGAGGCUGCAACAUGAGGCCGAGCUCACCUGACCUGCAGAGACACAACACCUGGCUGUGACGUGCUGCCGGCUACACCUGCAGUGUUUACAACCUUGCUGCCCUCCAGUGGUCACAGUGAGGAACUACAUCCAUGAGAAACAUCAGCCGUGACUGUCAAAAUCAACAUGUGACCAAAUAAAACCGACAACAAUCCAACUUAUUCAAGAAACUCGUCUCUGCUGUGGUUGUCAAGUGUAAUGUUCAGGGGUGGAAACUGUUUUUACUAU